rnacentral:lncRNA from 1 species
AUUUCAUCAGUCCUGCGUUCACCCCAGAUUUGCCAAUGUCCAUGUCUGGCCAUUGCGAAUCUCCUUCUCAGUAGUCUAGAAAUUCGCCUCAGUUUUCCCUCCACUCUGGCUCCUUCUGUUAAAAGAUCACAGCAGAACCUCAAAACCUGUCCUGCAGUUCCAGUUCAUAGCACCCUCUCCUCAAAGCAGACGGCUCAGAUGAAGUGCCUGAAGGAGUCCCUGGGAAUCAGAUCUGUGUCCGGCAUUUUAUGAGAUUCUCUUGUACCCAGCCUGGCUUUGAACUUGCUAAGUAGCCAAGGAUCUCCCAAGCUUCCAAUCCUACUGCUGAUGCCUCCUAAGGCUGAAUUGCCAAUCAGACACAAACUAAUCACUUCAGUGCGCUAAACACUACAUACCGGUGCCGCAGAUGAUAAAGACCGUCUCUCCAGGGUCAACACCAAGUAUGACCAUGAGGAAAUGAAAGGUCGACACCUGGGGUGACCUAUCAAGGCCACAAACUACAGAAUGGAAGGGGGAGAACUUGAGCCCCAGCCACGUCUUCCACGUCUACUGUCAACCACUGUGCACUUCUUCCUAGUGACAAUGCUUCUGGAUCACUACAAAUAUCACCUACUCCAGUGUCUCCCACUCAGCCACUACAUCCAGGUACACAGCCCAGAGUCACCUUAGAAGAGAGUUUCAGAUGAGAAUUUGCAG